rnacentral:rRNA from 1 species
CGCGGCCUAUCAGCUUGUUGGCGGGGUAAAGGCCCACCAAGGCUUCGACGGGUAACUGGCGUGAGAGCGCGACCAGUCACACCGGGACUGAGAUACGGCCCGGACUCCUACGGGAGGCAGCAGUAGGGAAUAUUGGACAAUGGGCGAAAGCCUGAUCCAGCGACGCCGCGUGAGGGAUGAAGGCCUUCGGGUUGUAAACCUCUGUUGUUAGGAAAGAAGCCGGGUGCAUAACCCGGUGACGGUACCUAACGAGGAAGCCCCGGCUAACUACGUGCCAGCAGCCGCGGUGAGACGUAGGGGGCGAGCGUUAUCCGGAUUCACUGGGCGUAAAGGGCGCGUAGGCGGUUACGUAAGUCCGAUGUGAAAAGUCACGGCUCAACUGUGAUCGUGCAUCGGAUACUUCGUUGACUUGAGGUCGGUAGAGGCAAGUGGAACUAGCGGUGUAGCGGUGAAAUGCGCAGAUAUCGCUAGGAACGCCGGUGGCGAAGGCGACUUGCUGGGCCGUACCUGACGCUGAGGCGCGAAAGCUAGGGGAGCGAACCGGAUUAGAUACCCGGGUAGUCCUAGCCGUAAACGGUGGGUGCUAGGUGUGGGGGGCAUAUGUCCCUCUGUGCCGUAGCUAACGCAUUAAGCACCCCGCCUGGGGAGUACGG